UACAGAGGAGCCAAGCGUUGUCCGGAUUGACUGGGCGUAAAGCGCACGCAGGCGGACGCGCGCGUGGGGUGUGAAAUCUGGCCGCUUAACGGCCAGGCGCCAUCCCAUACGGCGUGCCUGGAGUGAUGCAGAGGUCGGUGGAAUUGCCGGUGUAGUGGUGAAAUGCGUAGAGAUCGGCAGGAACACCCAGGGGGAAACCAGCCGACUGGGCAUCUACUGACGCUGAGGUGCGAGAGCGUGGGGAGCGAACCGG
rnacentral:rRNA from 1 species